rnacentral:misc_RNA from 1 species
GAAAGUAGAUUUAUUUUCCUAUUAGGUUUAGGAGACUUAAAACUCUAUAAAUACUCCUAAACUCUAUAUAUUUCAGAUCAGAUUCUACAGAUUUUGAGUUCAGUUUUCAGUUGAUAAAAAUCUUCCUUGUUUUCACUCUCUAUGUAUGGAGUAUGUUUCUAUUUGAGUUUCACGUUGCGUCAAUAUACAACCUUGAUUCAUUUCAAUGGUACCUGAAAGCCUUGAAUAGUUCUAAAAUGAUCCAACUUUAACCAACUAGAGCAUUGAAGUUCCAACAACCCUAAAGCAUGAAGAUUCAUUUCAAUGUACUACGAAUUUAAAAUAGGACAAGUACAUCACCCAAAGAUCAUUUCUAUAAGAAAUAAGAUAGGGUUUAUGAUAAAAAAAAUUCCAAACCUUUUCAACCUUUUGCAAUUCUAGCCAAUUCUUUUUUUGGGGGUGGGCAAUUUUAGCACGAUUUUAAUGGGUCAUUGUUUUUUUAGGCUGUGGUCAAAAUUGACUUAAAUCAGCUAACAUGACAUGUUUUUGAGUUUUGACCACUGAUCUCUCUCAAUUUUGACCACAUCUAAGAUACAAUAAACCUUUAAAAUAAGCUAAAAU